rnacentral:rRNA from 1 species
AUUGAACGCUGGCGGCAUGCCUUACACAUGCAAGUCGAACGGUAACAGGUUAAGCUGUCGAGUGGCGAACGGGUGAGUAAUGUAUCGGAACGUGCCCAGUCGUGGGGGAUAACUUCUCGAAAGAGCAGCUAAUACCGCAUACGACCUGAGGGUGAAAGCGGGGGGUCGCAAGACCUCGCGCGAUUGGAGCUGCCGAUAUCAGAUUAGGUAGUUGGUGAGGUAAAGGCUCACCAAGCCGACGAUCUGUAGCUGGUCUGAGAGGAUGACCAGCCACACUGGGACUGAGACACGGCCCAGACUCCUACGGGAGGCAGCAGUGGGGAAUUUUGGACAAUGGGCGCAAGCCUGAUCCAGCCAUGCCGCGUGCGGGAAGAAGGCCUUCGGGUUGUAAACCGCUUUUGUCAGGGAAGAAAAGGUUCUGGCUAAUACCUGGGACUCAUGACGGUACCUGAAGAAUAAGCACCGGCUAACUACGUG